rnacentral:lncRNA from 1 species
AUCACUGUAGAAAAUCGACUGAUAGUGAAGCUCAGAGAGUAUUUGGAGCAAUUUGAUAAAAGACUGAAGGAGCUCAUUAUUGGAGAAGUUCAGAGGGUACGAUAGGAGUUCGUCCGUUGGAGGAAUCUGGAGGACAUUGUGGAAGGUCGACUGCUGGAGGAGUUUGGAUGGUACUGUGGAAGCUCGGACGAUCGGGGGAGUUCAGAAAGAUGCCACACAAGGUCAGA